AGUGGCCUAGCGGUUAAGACGUCCGCCUGGAAACCCGCGGGUCGUGGGUUCAAGCCCGG
rnacentral:tRNA from 11 species